CGCACGGGUGCGUAACGCGUAUCAAUCUACCUCUAACUGAGGGAUAGCCCAGAGAAAUUUGGAUUAAUACCUCAUAGUAUUAUAGAAAGGCAUCUUUUUAUAAUUAAAACUCCGGUGGUUAGAGAUGAGUAUGCGUCCUAUUAGCUAGUUGGUAAGGUAAUAGCUUACCAAGGCAACGAUAGGUAGGGGGCCUGAAAGGGUGAUCCCCCACACUGGUACUGAGACACGGACCAGACUCCUACGGGAGGCAGCAGUGAGGAAUAUUGCACAAUGGAGGAAACUCUGAUGCAGCCAUGCCGCGUGCAGGAUGAAUGCCCUAUGGGUUGUAAACUGCUUUUAUACAAGAAGAAACAUCAGUACGUGUACUGACUUGACGGUAUUGUACGAAUAAGCACCGGCU
rnacentral:rRNA from 1 species